UACAGAGGGGGCAAGCGUUAUUCGGAAUUAUUGGGCGUAAAGGGCGCGUAGGCGGCCUGCUAAGUCGGACGUGAAAUCCCCCGGCUCAACCGGGGAACUGCGUCCGAUACUGGUGGGCUCGAAUCCGGGAGAGGGAUGUGGAAUUCCAGGUGUAGCGGUGAAAUGCGUAGAUAUCUGGAGGAACACCGGUGGCGAAGGCGGCAUCCUGGACCGGCAUUGACGCUGAGGCGCGAAAGCCAGGGGAGCAAACGGG
rnacentral:rRNA from 1 species